UACGUAGGGUGCGAGCGUUAAUCGGAAUUACUGGGCGUAAAGCGCGCGUAGGCGGCUUUGCAAGUCGGGUGUGAAAUCCCCAGGCUUAACCUGGGAACUGCAUUCGAGACUGCAUUGCUAGAGUAUGGGAGAGGGCAGUGGAAUUUCCGGUGUAGCGGUGAAAUGCGUAGAUAUCGGAAGGAACAUCAGUGGCGAAAGCGACUGCCUGGACCAAUACUGACGCUCAUGUGCGAAAGCGUGGGGAGCAAACAGG
rnacentral:rRNA from 1 species